AAUUAAAAUAAAUAAUAAAAAUUCUAAAAAGGGAGAGAGAGAAAAUCAGCAAAGAGGACAUCUACUUGUGGUCCCUGCCACCUCUGCAGGAGUCUUCGUAGAGAAGUGGCAUCUGGAAUCUGAGGAAGUUCAGUUAGCUUUGUUCUCUGCCUCACUUCUUAGGAGAGGGAAAGACACCAGCCAAGUAGCUGGCAGUCCUUAGUUUGUGUUACUUCUUAGGAAGAUCUGGAGUUCAAAGUGAGCCUUGACUACAUGAGACCCUGUCAUAGUGAGGGUUUGGAGAAGAAUAUAAAAGCCCAGGCAAGUAAGUGGACCCCAUCAGUGUCCCUGGCCAGGCGCAGGCCUGCCUACUCACCAUGCAGGCGUUACAUGGAUGUGGCCACACGGGGUUUCUGGGUCUCUUCAUUCUAGCGGCUACUGGAGAUUCCCCCCCCCUCCCUGCAUUCCUUUUCCCCUAAAUUCCUGAGAGGGAACUGAGGCCCCACACUUCUGAGCAGAGUCCUGCUUCAUCUGGCGGGCUGCACGGCCUGCCUCUAGCCUUCUCCCCAGUGUUCCUGUGCUCUCUGUGUCCCUGGGCUAUAAAAAGGGCGUGUCCUAGGAGUGACCCUGCCCAGUGCCUCCUCUGUGCAUAGACCUCUACCGUUAUCACCAAAACCUCUAUUUUUUUAGGUUAUAUUUUAUAUGUAUGAGUAUUUUGUCUGCGUGGAUAUAUGUGCACCAUGUACCCUCAGAGAACCAAAGAGGGUUUUGGAUCCACUGGAACCAAAGUUAGAGAUGUUUGUGAAGCAUCGUGUCAGUGCUGGGAAUCGAACCCAGGUCCUCUGAAUGACCAGCAAGUGUUCUUGACCACUGAACCAUCUCUCCAACCCUCAUGUUUCUAGCUCUCCAGCCUGUGAUUUAGCUGGCUUUCUGGGUCAGGACAAGAGGUAGGGAGGGACAGCAGAAGCAGGCCUGCUUUAUUUUCUUCAGUUGCAGCCUUUGUCCUACAACAAGAUUGGGUACAUUUAGGGAAUUAGCCUGAAUAUUGGCCCCAGACAGAUUUACUCAAUUCUUUGAGAAUCAGAAAUUAACCUCUGUGGGAUUUGCACAAGCAUCCCAAGCUAAUAUGGUGCUGAGUGUUGGAAGGCCUUCUCACCACUGAAGGAAGGGUCUCACUGUGUAGCCCAAGCAGGCUCUGAAUUCAUGACCCACCUCCUUCCACCUCCCACUUGCUGGGACUGCAGGUAUGGACCACUCCUGGCUAUAGGGCCCACUUCUGACCUAUGAAUUCUAGAGGGUUUCAAAGUAGCUUACCUUCAACCUUUUUAUUGAGUAAAGAUAGAACUGGCACUGGUGUCUAACAAUGCUUUCUGGCCUGCUGAAUUUUGUAUUCGGUUCUACAUGAGGGACCAAAUCCCUGGCUCUCCCUCAGGUAUGUUUUGGGAAUGUGUGAGAUUAUAACAAUAAAUGGCUUACAGGUUUAUUAACCAAACUCAUCUGCCAAGGUUCAAAUAAAAUCGCCAUCUUCUUAGAAACUAAAUUAAUAUAUGUAUUUUAAUCCACAUAGCACCCUCAAGGGGUAGCAGCAUAAGCUGAGAAGUCCGUUGCCCCAGGGUUCCAAAGGCCCAUAUUAGUGCUGGGGAGUGGCAGGGCAGCAGGGCAGCUAGGUGUUCUAGCUAGAAACAUCUACCCUGGCAUCCUUGGGUGUGAGCACUUGUGUGUGUGAGCACUUGUGGGCAGUUAGGGCAACAGGCCUCCUGGAGAACAAUCUGUGAGACUAGUGCAAGGGAGCCCUGGCAGGGCUAUCCCUGGUGGCGCAGCAGAGUGGCUUCAGGUGGGUUCCCCCAGGCAGGCAGCCUUCCUGCAGGGUCUGUGGGGACACUGACCACCCAGUCAGGGGAAGUCUUCAUGCCCAUAUAAUACUCCCAUUUGCCUACCCUACCUUCAACUUUUCCUUGCUUUGCUCGGACCCAUGACAGGGCAUGUGCCCCACAUUACUUCCUGCCCUGGUUCAUUCUAACUCAACUUGUUACAACCUAGGGUCACCUGGGAGGAAGUCUCAAUGAGCAGGUUGGCCUGCUGUAGGCAUGCCUGUGGAAAACUGUCCUGACUGUUAAUUGGUUGGGAUGGUACCCUCCCAUGGGCUAGGCUCUGGCCUGCAUGAGUAGAGAAAGCCAGCUGGGCACUAAGCAAGUAAGCAAUUAUGCGCUCUGCUCCUGGUCUUGGGUGUGAUGUGAUUGGCUGCUUGAGUUCCUGCCUUGACUUACCCAAAAUAGAUUGUAACUUGGAAUUAUAAGCCAAAUAAAUAAUUUCCUCUCCUAUGUUGCUUUUUUUGUCGCAGAAACAGAAAUGAGAUGAAUGCUGUCCCCUUGCACAGCAACCCUGCCUGCAUUAGAAAGUUCAAUCACAGAAGGAAUGGAACACAAGAAAAAGGAGUUUACCGGGGGAGUGAUGUGGGGAAGGGCGUUACAAAUGAAGAGUCAUUUGCCCUGAGUCUGUCUAAGCAGGGCUAAGAAGGAAGAAGAGCAGCAUUCUAGACAGAGGGAAGAGCAAGCAGGGAAAAGACACAGAAAUGCAUGACAGCCAGAACAUCAGAACUGGGACCUCUCAGUGUGCAUUAAGACUCCCAUCAGCUGGGCAGAGAAUACAGUGGAGAUGGAAAAGCUUUGCCCAUGCCUGACCUGGCGUCAUCUGGGCUGUUUGACAAGGGAAAGAGAAUCACUGAAGUGUCUCACUGCUUGCCUCUUACAGUUUUUCUGCCCAACAUUAACUGUUAGCUGACGGCUGUCCGGACAUCUGCCCCACAUGCAGAUGACAUGAGCAAGACUGGCUUCUCUCGGCCACUGAAGAAACCUAGGCUCCAUUUCUUUCACCACAGAUCGUUCCCAGGUGCCCCCGGGCUCACUCAGCCCUUCCUCUUGAAAAAACCUCCCAUGAGCGGUUCCGCCCAUGCAGAGGCUCCCAAGCUCAUCAUUGGCCUUUACUACAAGGAAGGCCAGAGCUGCCACUGACCUCAUUCAGGACAGGAAGAAUGAAUUUGCUAAAAGGCUGUCAGGAGGGCCAGAGAACCAGGUCUGAGGGGAGGUUUCCAGAACAAUACUUCAAACCCUGCCUGUGCCACAGAGCAUUAGCUGCUGCUGUCCUGUGCUCGCUCCCAGGAGUCUGACUCCUAGUGGCUACUGCUUCAGCUGGCAACCUUGCUACCGCUGCAUCAGGAAGGCAACCCAGAAGCCACAGUACCUUAGGCACCUGCUUCCCUGGAAAAGCACAUACCUAUGCAUCCUGCUUCCUUGUGUUUAUCACCUGCAAGUCAAGACCCUACUGUGCUCCAGAGAACACGAUACCACAAGCUCUUGGUGCAAGUUUUAUUUGGUUGGGUUUUUUUUUUUUUUUUUGGUGUGUUUGUUUGUAUCUAAGAAGAGCAGGGCUCCUAAAGUAAGAAAGGUGUCCAGGCAUCAGGAUUAUAAACUUGAGCACCUGCAAAGGACCAGAGGUGUAACUGAAUGGAAGAGCAAAUGCCUUGCUUUUAAAAGGCUCCAGGUGUGAUCCUCGGUAAGACAAAAAUAGUCUUUAUGGACUAUAGAGAAGAAAAGCUGGGCAGAGAAAUCACAGAUCCUGAGGGAAGAAAGUGGUUUCACUAAGGGCAUGGGUGAAUCAUGACUGCCCCUGAGGGGCGGCCAGUUCUCAGCCUAGAAAAGACUUAGAAGGAGGAGAAAGAGGGGAGCGGCUCCAGUCUGCAAACAAACCCUUCUUCACUUUUGGAGUGCCUUUCCACCUGCAGAGAAGGAGGCCAAAGGCAGUCACCAGACCUGGCCAGAAAGUCAACAAAUGCCUACACUGAGAACGGAAGUGCACAGAGCACAGGUAGCCCCAGGAAGCACAGGAGGCACACAGAUAAAUCACGAUCACAAACUGCAUUGACAGUUUGAGAUUGACACUGAGUGUCAAAUGCCGGCACAGACUGCCAAGUGCCAGGAAAAGAAAUUCAAUCUGGUCUAGGCAGACGCGGCGGUGCAACGUGAAACCCACCUGCAGGGACAGGGAAGGGCCCCGAACCUUGCUGGAACCUAUUUUUCCGAGGCGGGUCCUUGGGCACUUACCGAAGUCUUAGCUGGCCACUGGCCUGCCUCCAAGAGGUAGGAGCGUCUCUGCUUUACAGGUGAGAAAAACACGGUCCAGCGGCUUGCAGAGCCAUUGCAGGCCUGAGUUGGAAUCACUAGUCCAGGUCCCUAACACCACGCCCACGGCCAGAGGCGAGCGGGUGUUUACCGAGUGACUCCUGCUCCUCACCAAGCACACCUAGCCAGCGUUUUAAUGUAGGCACCACAGACUAUAAGGGACUGGGGAAGCGCUGGGCUCCUGGGUGGGGGUGGGGAGGUGCAGUGGCCAAAUCCCGGGCCGAACGACAGGCCGGGACCCUGCGAACUCACAGA